rnacentral:misc_RNA from 1 species
GAUGAAGAACGUAGCGAAAUGCGAUACUUGGUGUGAAUUGCAGAAUCCCGUGAACCAUCGAGUCUUUGAACGCAAGUUGCGCCCGAAGCCAUUAGGCCGAGGGCACGCUUGCCUGGGCGUCACACGUCGUUGCCCCCCCAUCUACUCCUUCGGGAUUGCGGGGGGCGGAUGAUGGCCUCCCGUGCGCCUCGCCGCGCGGUUGGCAUAAAUGCCAAGUCCUCGGCGACGCACGCCACGACAAUCGGUGGUUGCGAAACCUCGGUUGCCCGUCGUGUGCGGUCGUCGCGCAUCGAGGGCUCGAAAAAAUUGCCGGGUUCCGGCUCGGCUUUCAACGCGACCCCAGGUCAGGCGGGGUUACCCGCUGAAUUUAAGCAUAUCAAUAAGCGGAGGA